UACGUAGGGUGCGAGCGUUGUCCGGAAUUACUGGGCGUAAAGAGCUUGUAGGUGGUUUGUCGCGUUGUUCGUGAAAUCUCACGGCUCAACUGUGAGCGUGCAUUCGAUACGGGCAGGCUAGAGUUCGGUAGGGGAGACUGGAAUUCCUGGUGUAGCGGUGAAAUGCGCAGAUAUCAGGAGGAACACCGAUGGCGAAGGCAGGUCUCUGGGCCGCAACUGACGCUGAGGAGCGAAAGCAUGGGGAGCGAACAGG
rnacentral:rRNA from 1 species